UUCCGUUAUUUAUUUAUUUAUUUUUUUUGUUUGUUUGUUUUCUAUAAAUAUGAAAUGUGAGUAACAAAACAUUUUCACUCGGUCAAAAUACAUGAAAAUUUACAAACUGAAAAAUAAUGAGAACAAAUAUGAAAAAAAUAAAUAUAUAAUCAGCCAAAGGCCAAAUUUCCGAGAUAUGUACACUAAAAAUGAAUAAAAUCCUAAAACCCGAUGAAUUGUAUAUGCAUACCUGUAUAAAAUCAAGUCAAGAAACACAUUUUAGUAUCACCUAAAAAACACGUUUUAAAAAAGUAAAAAAAGGUCAAAAAGUUGCAUGUGUCAGUCGAUUGGAAAUUUAGCACAGAUGGCGUACUUAAGAACUUAUUUUUUACUUUUCGAGUAGUUUAAAAAUAUAUUUAAAGAACCAUGCAAACUCGACAAUAGAUAUCAAUGGAUACAAGCAUAUGUACUGAAUACUCAUUUUUUAAUCAUUUUCGGGUAAAUUGGAUAUAAACAGAAUAAUUUUAGUAAGUGUUAAAUCUUAAU